GUGAAGAACGUAGCAAAAUGCGAUAAGUAAUGUGAAUUGCAGAAUUCAGUGAAUCAUCGAAUCUUUGAACGCACAUUGCGCCCGCCAGUAUUCUGGCGGGCAUGCCUGUUCGAGCGUCAUUUCAACCCUCAAGCACAGCUUGGUGUUGGGACUCGCGUUAAUUCGCGUUCCCCAAAUUGAUUGGCGGUCACGUCGAGCUUCCAUAGCGUAGUAGUAAAACCCUCGUUACUGGUAAUCGUCGCGGCCACGCCGUUAAACCCCAACUUCUGAAUGUUGACCUCGGAUCAGGUAGGAAUACCCGUUGAACUUAAGCAUAUCAAUAAGCGGAGGA
rnacentral:misc_RNA from 1 species